rnacentral:rRNA from 1 species
AGCAGUCGCCACGGGAAUACCAGCACCUCGAGUGGUCAGGAGGUUUAUUGGGCCUAAAGCAUCCGUAGCCGGUUGCAUAAGUUUUCGGUUAAAUCUAUGCGCUUAACGUAUAGGCCGCCGAAAAUACUGUGCAGCUAGGGAGUGGGAGAGGUACACGGUACUCGAUAGGAAGGGGUAAAAUCCUUUGAUCUAUUGAUGACCACCUGUGGCGAAGGCGGUGUACCAGAACACGUUCGACGGUGAGGGAUGAAAGCUGGGGGAGCAAACCGGAUUAGAUACCCCCGUAGUCCCUGUCUCUUAUAC